AUUGAACGCUGGCGGCAUGCCUAACACAUGCAAGUCGAGCGCCCGCAAGGGAGCGGCGGACGGGUGAGUAACGCGUGGGAACGUGCCCUUUGCUACGGAAUAGCCUCGGGAAACUGAGAGUAAUACCGUAUGUGCCCUUCGGGGGAAAGAUUUAUCGGCAAAGGAUCGGCCCGCGUUGGAUUAGGUAGUUGGUGGGGUAAUGGCCUACCAAGCCGACGAUCCAUAGCUGGUUUGAGAGGAUGAUCAGCCACACUGGGACUGAGACACGGCCCAGACUCCUACGGGAGGCAGCAGUGGGGAAUCUUAGACAAUGGGCGCAAGCCUGAUCUAGCCAUGCCGCGUGAGCGAUGAAGGCCUUAGGGUUGUAAAGCUCUUUCGUGGGGGAAGAUAAUGACGGUGCCCCAAGAAGAAGCCCCGGCUAACUCCGUGCCAGCCGCCGCGGUAACAC
rnacentral:rRNA from 1 species